CUUGUUAUUCCAUUUUUUCAUUUGAACAGUGUCUGGCAAGAUUCCAGCAAAUUUGGAGACAUAUUUGAUGAAGAUUUCUUUAUACAUGCGCUUAAGAAUGAUGUGGAUGUAGUUCCAGAACUCCCAAGAGAAGUACUUGACCAGUUUGACAAUAAUAUAAGUAGUAUUGUAAAUUUGAGAGUAAAGGCGUGGUCCAGUCCAGCCUACUAUCUUCAGAAAGUGCUUCCAAAGCUGAUGCAGAUGCGUUCGCAUUGCCC
rnacentral:misc_RNA from 1 species